AGAGUUUGAUCCUGGCUCAGGAUGAACGCUAGCUACAGGCUUAACACAUGCAAGUCGAGGGGCAGCAUGGUCUUAGCUUGCUAAGGCUGAUGGCGACCGGCGCACGGGUGAGCAACACGUAUCCAACCUGCCGUCUACUCUUGGCCAGCCUUCUGAAAGGAAGAUUAAUCCAGGAUGGGAUCAUGAGUUCACAUGUCCGCAUGAUUAAAGGUAUGUU
rnacentral:rRNA from 1 species